rnacentral:sRNA from 1 species
AGAGAACAAGGAAAAAGAAAUAAUAGAUUAAAAACUGCCUUGAUAGGAAGAUUUUAGCCUUCAGAUGAAAAUAACCCACUUUCUUCUUCUUCUUCUUUUUUUUUUUUUUUUGUGUGUGUGUGUGUGUUUGUAUGUAUGUGGGGAUGGGGGUUGGUUAUGUGUUGCUGGGAAUGGAACCAGAGGCCUUGCACAUGCUAAGCAAGCAGGCAUUCUA